rnacentral:rRNA from 1 species
AGUGAACGCUGGCGGUAGGCCUAACACAUGCAAGUCGAACGGCAGCACAGUAAGAGCUUGCUCUUACGGGUGGCGAGUGGCGGACGGGUGAGGAAUACAUCGGACUUUACUUUUUCGUGGGGGAUAACGUAGGGAAACUUACGCUAAUACCGCAUACGCCCUACGGGUGAAAGCAGGGGAUCUUCGGACCUUGCGCGAUUGAAUGAGCCGAUGUCGGAUUAGCUAGUUGGCGGGGUAAAGGCCCACCAAGGCGACGAUCCGUAGCUGGUCUGAGAGGAUGAGCAGCCACACUGGGACUGAGACACAGUCCAGGCUUGUACGGGAGGCAGCAGUGGGGAAUAAUGGACAAGGGGCGCAAGCCUGAUCCAGCCAGACCGCGUGGGGGAAGAAGGCCGUCGGGGUGUAAAGCCCUUUUGUUGGGAAAGAAAAGCAGCAGGUUAAUACCCCGCUGUUCUGACGGUACCCAAAGAAUAAGCACCGGCUAACUUCG